GAAUGUGCCAGGGUCAAGUCUGUACCGAUUUUCAUGGUGAAUAGAUUACAUGCUUGCAUUCAUGUUGACUUCCGAAGCGCUUAGUGUCUUCCUUCCCUUACUUACAUAUUAACCUCAAAUACCCUGCGCGGCUUCAUCCAAGCUUUACUGGAGGUAGUUAACAACAUUUGAUUCCC
ensembl:misc_RNA